rnacentral:rRNA from 1 species
CAGCCCACACCCUAGCUCAGAUACCAUCGCACCCCUCCUCCCUCGUCCCCAUCUCCUCCUGCCGCCGCCACCUCCUCCCGUCCCCAGCCACUCCCAAUCCAGUCCUCUCCCCGCUGCUUCCACCCACCGUCGACCUCACCGACCUCCUCACCCACCGCCGCCGACCUCGUCCCUCCCUCCCCUCACCAUCUCUCCCUACCCUAUUCCCCAGAUCGAGUCGACCAGGCGCUAGGGUUCCGUCCCUCCGCCCCUCUCCUACUCCCCUCCCAUCUCCGCCCCCUCCCUGCUCCCUCCCAUGGCUAACCCCUUCGCCUCCCCUCUCCUCCUCGCUUCCCCGCUCCCCCUCCGGGCCCCGAUCUUCCCGCCCCACCCGUCGGCGCUGGUGGAGGAGGCCGCCACCACGGCCGUGGAGGAGUACGAGGCACCUCUGCUGAGGCUUCUCCGACCAUAUAGGCGAGCUAGUGCUUCCCCCCUCUCGCUGUCGUCUUCUUCCCUCGUCGUCCACUGCCUUCGGGAUCUGCCUACGGAAUGAAGGCGGCAGACCACACCAGUUCUCUGUAGGCGGCGAUUCGAUGAAUGCUUCAGACCAUCCUUCCAAGCCUCGGCAAGCUAGACAGGUGGAUUCGCCAAGCAGGGCCCUCCGGCGAGGUGGAGGGCUGAGGGACGAGAUCGAGCAAGUCGACGGGGUCGUCUCCGCCGUGAACGACAGGGUUACCCGAAACAAGUUAGUGGCCAGAUCCCUCGCAGCCCUCAAGCAGAUGCUCUACGACGCCGAUGACACGGUCGACGAGCUCGACUGCUACAGUUUUCAGCAGGAGCUCCAUGCCCGUGGAGGCCCAUGGCAUUGGCACCAUCCCAACAAAAUUGAUGGACGAAGUAACCAACUGCCAAGUACUUCAAGGAAACUAAAUGCUUUACAAUACUCCAAAUAGCCAAUGCGACUCUGUUUUUAAGACCUUUUGCACAUUUAUAAGACCCUGUUUUUAUACAUCUGUGUAAACAGUCCAAUGUGAUUCUAACUGAUGAUAGUUCAUCUAGAAGAAAAAGGAGAAGGGGCAACAUGGAGAAAGACGCGGUGCUGGUGUGCAUGAUCUUGGGCUUUCUAGGCUCCGUCGCGGUCACCCUCGGCUUCGUCGCCAACAACUAUAGCUCCAAGUCCGUGGAGUACCACGGGAUGACUGCGUGUACCUGAGCCCACUAGCGACGGGUCUCGGCAUCCUGGGUGUGUUCCUGGUGUUCAUCAACCAGGUCAUCGUCGCCGGCUACGCCAGCGGCUGGUGCCUCUGCCUGUGUUGCUGCUGCCCCUACUGGAUCAAGCGCUGCCGGCUGGCGCCAACACCGUCCAAGUGGAACCCAGUCGUAAAGAGCUAUGUGAGCCCUCCUGGAAGGGGCUUCAGUUGGACCUCUGAUUAAUCUCCCCAUAGACUUUGACCCUAGCAUCCCCGUGAUAGGGUUUGUCGGAACCGCCAUUGCCUUAGGGUGCUUCUCCAGCACCGCCAUCAUCGCCAAUCGCAGGGAAUACUUAUACAUCGGUGGCCUGACCUCUUCUGGCAUGUCGAUCCUUCGACAUGAAACUGUAUACUAUCUCAAGAACGUAGGUGACAAGAAGAGGAAGAGGAGGUCCUAAACGUUUCUCCCGCACAUCGUACAUACCACAACCGCGGCCUUGUAGGAAUUAAGCUGGCGCUGUGCCACCCUUGUGUAUCUGUUUUUGAUUGUAUGUGCACUUGUUGGACGUGCAUACAUGUAUUUGCUCUUGGGAGUAUUUGACUGGAUGAUCUCUGGAUUUAAUCAGUUAAUUGACAG